rnacentral:sRNA from 1 species
UGGAACAAAAAGAAAAAUACCUUGAAUAGGAACUCAAAGGGGCAGAUCGUGCUGUACAUGAGCAAAGGAGGCCACAGUUCACUCCCCAGACCCUAAGGGCACUGUGUGGGAUUUAAGGAGGAUCUGGGAAUCAUUGAAAGGUUCUGGAAACUGAACUCAGGUUGUCUGUGCAAACACAUUUACCGCCACGCCUUCUGGCCUGUGCUAAGCACUUGUGAGACAGAAGAAAGGUGGAUUUCUGUGAGUCCGAAGCCAGUCUGCUCUAUGUGGGACUUUGGACACAGAUGAGUGUGAACCUGAGCCCCAAGAAGGCACGGACAAGCAUGAGAUUCUCUGUCUCCUUGCUCUGAGUUUGUGGAGGUGAAGUUCCGAGGAAGCUCUGCUUCUGGAGUUUUCCUGAGGUACAGUCCCUGCCUUCGCCAGGCCCUUCCUCCUCGGUACCCACAGUUCAGAGAUCACUGCCAGCACUCAGAAGAGUGUGAGCCAGGGCACACACACUUAAAACCUCAGCACUGGAGAGGCGGCGGCAGAGGACCAGGAUUUCCAGGUCAUCCUCCGAAACUUUACACAUCCGAUGACUGGAAGAGUUGGAAGGAUUUCCCACAGACUCCAUUAUUGUCGGUCUUUGAUUCGCCACUGCCCACAUUCCUGUGGCUCCUGGUACCUACCAUAGGGCACACUCGGAUCGGACCUCAGUUGGCAUCAACAGCUUUGCCAUCUUGCCGGUUCUGUCAUGGCAGUGUAAUGGUCCUGUACACUGUCACCAACCCAGAAGGAGGAGGUCUAGGAGUAUAGACAUGCAUCAUCGUGCCCAGUUUAUGUGGUUCUGGGGUUUGAACUGAGGGCUUUCUGCAUGAAAGCAACUUCUCUGGUGUCAGAUUGUGAUAUGGACCUGCAAGCAAAGCCAUCAGGUCUAGGGGCAUCAACAGCCUGGGGACAACCCUCAGGUGGUGAGAACUUCCCUCCUCUCAGACGGUUCCAGCUAUUUCACGGUGCAUAAAACUAGCCUCGCAAGAGACUUUCUAUUCAGAUAAAUUAAAUAGUAAAUAAUAGAACUUUUAUCAAACUUUACUGAACUCCACAGGCCACACACCAUUAUAAUACCUCAAAUUUUCUACCUAUGUAUGUACCAGUUUCCACUCUUUUUGGAGAAAUUUCAGCCCUACUGGGAGAGCAUGCUCUAGUACUUGAGUGGCAUAGGGGCAGUGUCACUUACAAUUUCAUGUAGUUGGUUGUAUUUUGUUUGCAAUUUUGAGAGUCUUGACUCAUGAGCCUAUCAAUUCGGGAUGUAAUGUGAAAUCCAGAACGUUUUCACGGAACACUGAAAAUGACCAACUCCGCUCUUCUUUGGCAGCUGGAGGAACAGACUAUGUUGAGAGUGAUAUCCUGAAUGAAGAGCUGGGUGCGAAGCGUCAUGCCCGUAAUCUCAGCACUCAUGGCAGGCUGAGGCGGAGGAUUUUGGCUUUGGAGUUAGCUCUGGGCUACAUAGCAAGACCCUGUCUCAAAAGCAAACAAAGAAACACAAUGUACUAGGGUGCUAGAACUGUCUUCAUUAUUGGCUUUGGCAGGGUCUUAGGGACAGCACAGCAAGUGGUGUCUAACAAUUGGGGUGGCCAUCUCUAGCAAACAUCCCCUUUCACUUUAAUAACAUAGACAAGCCCUACCCCUGACUGGAGAUGUAUUUCUUUCGACUAGGGAAUAAAUUAGCACAUAUGGUGGCCUAAAACAAUACACUUGCUAUUUAAAGUAACUUAGUUCAGAAGUUCAAAGUGGAUGUAUAUGGGUUGAAAUCAAGGUGCCAGAGGAUCCAAAGGAAAACUUUUCUCUUGAAUUUUUCCAUCUUUUGAAAUACGCAUUCAAGAGCAGAGCAGUUCUUAUCUCAAAGUCCUGAUUUAAUCACACCUGCUAAGUGCUUUGUUAUGGAGGGAACCACAUUUACUACUUCCCGGGGUCAGAAUACUAACUUUUGGAAGAGCUACCAUUUGCCUGCUGUGGAGACAGUACAAAGAUAGUGUAGAGUAGGAUACAUUUCCUGGGUGGUGAACCUGGGAUAAAUUAUAUCUGCACAUAUACCUCAGUUUCCUCAUCAAAGGGCAAGGGGAACAGGAGGAAACCUCAAAUGGUUGUUAUAGAUGUGUUUAGCAAGAUAGCAUUAAGAAGGGCUCAGAACAGCACCCAGCACACAGUAAGCAUUUAUUUAAUACAGUUUUGUUAUUGUUGUUGGAUACAAGGUCUCUGGAUCUCACAGAGA